rnacentral:rRNA from 1 species
ACUCUUGGCAACAGAUAUUUUGGCUCUCUGCAUUGAUGAAGAACAUAGCGAAAUGUGAUACAUGGUGUAGAUUGCAAAAUCUCCGUGAAUCAUCGAGUAUUUGAACGCAAGGUGCACCCGAAGCCAUUUGGAUGGGAGCAUGUCUAUCCUGGGCGU